rnacentral:rRNA from 1 species
CCUACGGGAGGCUGCAGUGGGGAAUUUUGGACAAUGGGCGCAAGCCUGAUCCAGCCAUUCCGCGUGAGUGAAGAAGGCCUUCGGGUUGUAAAGCUCUUUCGCAAGGGAAGAAAACUUAUCCUCUAACAUAGGAUGAGGUUGACGGUACCUUGAUAAGAAGCACCGGCUAACUACGUGCCAGCAGCCGCGGUAAUACGUAGGGUGCGAACGUUGAUCGGAGUUACUGGGCGUAAAGCGUGAGCACGGAGGUGAAAUCCCCGAGCUCAAGUUGGGAACUGCGGUUGAAACUACAAGACUAGAAUAGGGCAGAGGGGGGUAGAAUUCCACGUGUAGCAGUGAAAUGCGUAGAGAUGUGGAGGAAUAUCAAUGGCGAAGGCAGCCCCCGGGGAUCAUAUUGACGCUCAUGCACGAAAGCGUGGGGAGCAAACAGGAUUAGAUACCCUUGUAGUC